AUGCCUGAAUUGUUUCCCAUCUCAACUGUCCAACCAGCUUGGCUUGCUGAUAUUGCUCUCAACUACUCACAAGACAAAUUUUCCACUGACCUGCUGCAGAAGCUUUCUUCUUUUGGUGAGUAUGACAACAAAUUCUCUUUGAAGUCUCGAUUUCUACGAGUGGACAAAUAUAUCUGGGUAGGUGCAGAUUCAAAGUUGCAACACACUAUUGUGAAUGCGUUCCACGACAGUCCAAUUGGGGGCCACUCAGGUUUUCCAGUCACUUUUAAGCGUGUCAGUCAGCUUUUUCGUUGGCAAGGUAUGCGCAGUUUCAAAAACAGUAUGUCAAAAACUGCAUCAUAUGUCAGCAAGCAAAACCUGAGCGAGUCCCUUACCCGGGUUUAUUACAUCCUUUACCUGUGCCUGACUUGCUCUGGGAGAUGGUGA
rnacentral:rRNA from 1 species